GGUUGGUGACCCUGCCCAUGGCAGGGGGUUGAAACUGCAUGAUCUCUGAGGUUCUUUUCAACCCAGGCCGUUCUAUGAUUUGGUGGCAGAAACUAUGAAGUGUUUGCUCCUUGUCUGCAACUUUAAGGUACACAUAGAUGCAAACACUGUAUGUAUGUCUGUUAACUUGGAAAAUGGAAGACGGUGUAUAUAUAACAGUCUUUUAUUAACAUCUCCUGGACAUGAGCUGAGUCUGAUUCUAUGAUAUAUUGGGUUAGCCUAGCAAUGUGGAUUUGGUUAUAUUGCUCUUCCAACACUUCUACUCUUAGGAGUUACUUUAAGUAACUUUCAUGUCCUUCUUCCUAAGUGACACAUGGAUAGCUUGGAGAAGCUCCUUUGGACCAUUAUUUAAAAAUAAGCAGUUCUGCCUGGCGCUGGUGCAGGCUCAAUAAUAGGAAGCUUGUACACUGUCUUUCCCUCUCUUUUUACAAACUAACUUAUCUAACUUGCUGGUACCUACAAUAGGUUUCCUAGGAUUUUAUUGCUUAAUCUAUACUGUAUUUAUUUGAAGUAGCAUUUGUUUGUUCUUAGUUUUUUUUUAAUUAGUCAUAGAAAGUUCUUUUUUUUUUUGUAUUAUAUGCAGCUAGACUGGCUUCUUGGUAGUUUCACUUCAGCUACAUACUUAUUUUCUUAGACCUGUGUAAAAUGUAUUAGAUCAGCCAAUGGUUUCUAUAAAUUUUUAAUUAAUUCAUGCAGAAAUCUUUUAUAACUUUCUCUGCAGGAACUGUCCAUUUGACUGCUUUAAAGUUUCUUCUUUGCAGAUGCAAGAUUAUAAUACCAUUUUACCACUGGAAAGGGGGUUGUUGGAAAAACAUCUGCUUAGAAAAGACCAAACUUUCACCUUUCUCAUCAUCACGUUAGUGCUGUUUUUUUUGUAUGCAGUUGCACAAUCUCGAAAUGUUGUCUGACAAAUUGCUGCAAUUUUGGCUCAUUCCUCUGGCUUAGAGAUUGGGAUUUAAAGGUGUAACUAUUACACUAGUGGGAAGCAUUGUUUUAAUAGAAGAUGCGUAGUAUUUACUGCAUGUUUCCAGAUUUGAUAAUCCUGGCAAGCAAAAGACUUCUCAUUUUUGAAUGAACAAUCUUGUAUUCAUUUUCUAUGAAACCCUGAUGAAUUUAAGGCUCAGAGAGGACCUUUAUCAUCUUCAACUCUUCUGGCCCCUAAAUCCUGUCUGGCAUGCUACAGUGGAGGGAAUAAGCCAAGUAAGCUCAAGUACCAGAAUACCAUCUCCACGUACAUGAUCCUGCUUGCAGUGGCAAGGAGAGGAGUUAAUGGUUCCCCUGUGGUUGAAUCAGCUGAGCAGAAGUUAGCAUCACCCAGUGAUACCAGUGCUGUACGAAUACCCUGGGAACGUGGAGCCGAAAUGGAAUGCCUUCAGCUGCUGUGUAGGAUUCAAGGUGCAGACCUGUGAUCAGAAGCCCUGGAUAUGCUCUCUGGAGGGAUGUCAUUGCUUGCUUUGUUGUCAGAUGUGGCCAUGAGAAUCGCCCCAUUAUGGAAACAACACUGAAUUGGAAAUGCUAAGAGAACUGAACCAGAGGUUCAUUACCUGUGAGUAUCAGAAGCUUUGCCUUUCUUCAAUUGAGAAUGAGAUGGAGAGUCAUCGUAACUUAUAACACUGCUGUAUCAGAAC
rnacentral:lncRNA from 1 species